rnacentral:misc_RNA from 1 species
AAAAUUUAUUGGCUUUUUAUAUCCAAUACUCGCUGCCAUUUCAAUUAUUUGUCUACACACUUGUAAAUAAUUAAAAGAAUAAUUUUGUUUUGAUUCACAUUUAAUUGAUUACAACUUAUUCAUCUUACAAUGGAUAAGAUCUUGUCCACAAAUCAUUUCAAUCAUUUAAUGUUCCCUGAAGCAAUGCUGCAACCAAGUUCUUGGUCCCCUCGGACUUAUCCCGUUGCAAUAAAUAUUCUGGCGACUAAAAAGAAGCUCAAAUAGGUUUUGGCCACCGUCUUGAGUGGACCAGAGUUUCGAGAUAUCGUCUCUGAAUGAUAAUCCCAGUGUCCUCGGUAUUGAAGUUCCGCUUGGCAGCGUCAGAUCAUAGGUGGCUUUUGUUACACAGUUCUUGCUGUUGGAUUGGGAAGUGCAAGUUAAAUUUUAUUUUAUGAGAGGGUAAUUUUUGUGCGGACUUAUUGACCAGUUGUACGUCAUCCUUUCCAGUAGGUUCUGGUUCUCAUCAGCUGGCAGAUCCUCCUGCUGCGCUUCCUCAUUGGAACUCUCGUGAUCCUUUUGGUGAUUUUAUGCUUCGCACUGUUGGGUUUAAUUUUGUGAUUUUGAUUUUCCUCACUCACAU